rnacentral:lncRNA from 1 species
AGAGGUGCCAGGCCACAUGCCCCGCCCACCUCUACCAGCUAUGCCGCCUCUGAAGUUCCUCCAGCGGCACUGAGGAGGGGCCCUGUGGUCGAGGGUGCAGUUAAACGAGGCCCGACCAGGUGGUUGAGCUCAGCUUGGCUGUACUUGUCUUCCUUGGACCUGCUGGGCACCCCCAGAGAACUGCUCCGGUGAAAUGGGCCAUGGUCUCGGAGUCGUCUAUGCACCACCCCCCACGACCCAGCUGGUCAGAGCUGUGCCCCCGCCUCCCCGACCACACAGUCAGCCCAUCCACAGGCUCCGUCCAAGGCCUCCUGCCUAUCCAGCCCUGCACAAAGGAGCGGGGCAGCAGCAGGGUGUUCUUUGAUUCCACAGACCUCCAGCGACAUCUCCUCUGUGCCAGGACCUCAGCUGCCCACAGGGA